UUGAACGCUGGCGGCAUGCUUUACACAUGCAAGUCGAACGGCAGCGGGGGCUUCGGCCUGCCGGCGAGUGGCGAACGGGUGAGUAAUGCAUCGGAACGUACCCAGUCGUGGGGGAUAACUACGCGAAAGCGUAGCUAAUACCGCAUACGCCCUGAGGGGGAAAGCGGGGGACCUUCGGGCCUCGCGCGAUUGGAGCGGCUGAUGUCGGAUUAGCUAGUUGGUGGGGUAAAGGCCUACCAAGGCGACGAUCCGUAGCUGGUCUGAGAGGAUGAUCAGCCACACUGGGACUGAGACACGGCCCAGACUCCUACGGGAGGCAGCAGUGGGGAAUUUUGGACAAUGGGCGCAAGCCUGAUCCAGCCAUGCCGCGUGAGUGAAGAAGGCCUUCGGGUUGUAAAAUUCUGUCUUGAGGGACGAAAAAAAUGACGGUACCUCAGGAGGAAGCCCCGGCUAACUACGU
rnacentral:rRNA from 1 species